rnacentral:rRNA from 1 species
GUCGGAAUCGCUAGUAAUCGUGGAUCAGCAUGCCACGGUGAAUACGUUCCCGGGCCUUGUACACACCGCCCGUCACACCAUGAGAGUUUGUAACACCCAAAGCCGGUGAGGUAACCUUCGGGGACCAGCCGUCUAAGGUGGGACAGAUGAUUAGGGUGAAGUCGUAACAAGGUAGCCGUAGGAGAACCUGCGGCUGGAUCACCUCCUUU